CGCAGAGGGGAGAGAUGCGAACACUUUGACAUGAAUAAAUGUUGUCCUCCCACAGUGCUGAGAUCAUUGGGAGAAGCACUGAGAUGGGUGGAAGCGGUGCUGAGUGACUCCCGAGACGAGGACAGAAAAGGUGAUCAGCUCCCGCCUGGCCCUCUCCCCUCAGAACACACACCUUUGCAGCCCUGAGCCACCAGAAACUCCAGUAAAGGCUCUGGCUUAGGCUUUUCCCUUAUUCCUGCUUCUGCCUCCUGAUCAAAACCUGAUGCCUUCCCUGUGG